GGCGAACGGGUGAGUAACACGUGAGUAACCUGCCCCUGACUCUGGGAUAAGCGUUGGAAACGACGUCUAAUACUGGAUAUGACUGCCGGCCGCAUGGUCUGGUGGUGGAAAGAUUUUUUGGUUGGGGAUGGACUCGCGGCCUAUCAGCUUGUUGGUGAGGUAAUGGCUCACCAAGGCGACGACGGGUAGCCGGCCUGAGAGGGUGACCGGCCACACUGGGACUGAGACACGGCCCAAACUCCUACGGGAGGCAGCAGUGGGGAAUAUUGCACAAUGGGCGAAAGCCUGAUGCAGCAACGCCGCGUGAGGGAUGACGGCCUUCGGGUUGUAAACCUCUUUUAGUAGGGAAGAAGCGUAAGUGACGGUACCUGCAGAAAAAGCACCGGCUAACUACUUGCCAGCAGCCGCGGUAAUACGUAGGGUGCAAGCGUUGUCCGGAAUUAUUGGGCGUAAAGAGCUCGUAGGCGGUUUGUCGCGUCUGCUGUGAAAUCCCGAGGCUCAACCUCGGGCUUGCAGUGGGUACGGGCAGACUAGAGUGCGGUAGGGGAGAUUGGAAUUCCUGGUGUAGCGGUGGAAUGCGCAGAUAUCAGGAGGAACACCGAUGGCGAAGGCAGAUCUCUGGGCCGUAACUGACGCUGAGGAGCGAAAGCGUGGGGAGCGAACAGGAUUAGAUACCCUGGUAGUCCACGCCGUAAACGUUGGGCGCUAGAUGUAGGGACCUUUCCACGGUUUCUGUGUCGUAGCUAACGCAUUAAGCGCCCCGCCUGGGGAGUACGGCCGCAAGGCUAAAACUCAAAGGAAUUGACGGGGGCCCGCACAAGCGGCGGAGCAUGCGGAUUAAUUCGAUGCAACGCGAAGAACCUUACCAAGGCUUGACAUACACCGGAAACGGCCAGAGAUGGUUGCCCCCUUGUGGUCGGUGUACAGGUGGUGCAUGGUUGUCGUCAGCUCGUGUCGUGAGAUGUUGGGUUAAGUCCCGCAACGAGCGCAACCCUCGUUCUAUGUUGCCAGCGCGUUAUGGCGGGGACUCAUAGGAGACUGCCGGGGUCAACUCGGAGGAAGGUGGGGAUGACGUCAAAUCAUCAUGCCCCUUAUGUCUUGGGCUUCACGCAUGCUACAAUGGCCGGUACAAAGGGCUGCGAUACCGUAAGGUGGAGCGAAUCCCAAAAAGCCGGUCUCAGUUCGGAUUGAGGUCUGCAACUCGACCUCAUGAAGUCGGAGUCGCUAGUAAUCGCAGAUCAGCAACGCUGCGGUGAAUACGUUCCCGGGCCUUGUACACACCGCCCGUCAAGUCAUGAAAGUCGGUAACACCCGAAGCCGGUGGCCUAACCCUUGUGGAAGGAGCCGUCGAAG
rnacentral:rRNA from 1 species